GACGAACGCUGGCGGCGUGCUUAACACAUGCAAGUCGAACGGAAAGGCCCUGCUUUUGUGGGGUGCUCGAGUGGCGAACGGGUGAGUAACACGUGAGUAACCUGCCCUUGACUUUGGGAUAACUUCAGGAAACUGGGGCUAAUACCGGAUAGGAGCUCCUGCUGCAUGGUGGGGGUUGGAAAGUUUCGGCGGUUGGGGGUGGACUCGCGGCUUAUCAGCUUGUUGGUGGGGUAGUGGCUUACUAAGGCUUUGACGGGUAGCCGGCCUGAGAGGGUGACCGGCCACAUUGGGACUGAGAUACGGCCCAGACUCCUACGGGAGGCAGCAGUGGGGAAUAUUGCACAAUGGGCGGAAGCCUGAUGCAGCAACGCCGCGUGCGGGAUGACGGCCUUCGGGUUGUAAACCGCUUUCGCCUGUGACGAAGCGUGAGUGACGGUAAUGGGUAAAGAAGCACCGGCUAACUACGUG
rnacentral:rRNA from 1 species